ACUAUUAAGUUUGGUUGGUGAGGAAUCCAAUGUGGCAAGUGUUCUUGGAGGGAACUUUUCUGCUGGUUUUGUUGCAGGUAGUCUUGCUGCCGCUGCUACCUGUCCUCUAGAUGUUGCCAAAACGCGAAGACAGAUAGAGAAGGAUCCUGUAAGGGCAUUGAGGAUGACAACACGGCAAGUAUUGUUGGACAUUUGGAGGGAUGGAGGAGUGAAAGCACUGUUCAUAGGUGUUGGUCCUCGAGUUGGUCGUGCAGGCCCAUCUGUUGGGAUUGUGGUUUCAUUUUAUGAAGUUGUGAAGUAUGUUCUGCAUCGUCAGUAUGCAACUUCCUAACCAAAGGGGCUUUCUUUGCUUUAUCCAUUCUUUUUGGGGUCUGUUGAAUCAACUUUUGGUGACAAGCAUACGAGAAGAAGUAGCCACUGGAUAUUAUAUGAAUAAUGUGGCAAGCAAAGAAGAGAAUACAGUUCUGAUAGUGUUGGGUUCUGAUAGUGCACGAUGGAAGUCUGGAAUCUUUGUCCAGUUUUGUUUUCCAGGGAACUUCCAAUGUACAGCUCGGAAUGAUCCGGAAUUUUGUUAAUUUGGGAGAUUUCCCUAACCUAGGACUUCUCUGACUUCUGAUAGUUCACAAUUUUUUUUUCCCUUAAUAGUUUUUUUUCUUAAUUUUUAAUUCACAUUAACAGAAGUUUUUGCAAGUGUUUUGGUGGCUCCAUUUUUGCAGUUAGGGUUAGGCUUGUUAUGGAUUUUGACGUACAAGGAUAGCCUUAAUCGGGA
rnacentral:misc_RNA from 1 species